UGGAUGGAGAACGAGUGUGAUGAAAUGACAGAAUCAGACUUCAGAAGGUGGAAAAUAAGGAACUUUUGUGAGCUAAAACAACAUGUUCUAACACAAUGUAAAGAAACUAAGAACUUUGAAAAAAGGUUUGAUGAAAUGCUAA